UACAGAGGUCUCAAGCGUUGUUCGGAUUCAUUGGGCGUAAAGGGCGCGUAGGCGGCGCGGUAAGUCGGGUGUGAAAUCUUGGAGCUUAACUCCGAAACUGCAUUCGAUACUGCCGUGCUUGAGGACUGGAGAGGAGACUGGAAUUUACGGUGUAGCGGUGAAAUGCGUAGAUAUCGUAAGGAAGACCAGUGGCGAAGGCGGGUCUCUGGACAGUACCUGACGCUGAGGCACGAAGGUCAGGGGAGCAAACGGG
rnacentral:rRNA from 1 species